CAUUUAUGGCAGAUGGUCAAAUGGACAAAUCAAGAACAGUCCAGGAAAUCCAGUUUGUAACCUUGGACCUGCAUGACAGUUCAAGAAAACAUCACCAGAAAACAUCAGCAGCUGACAGAAGAAAUUUGCUUCUUAAGCAGCAGAUCUGACUGGAAGAGAAAUGUUGAAACUCUUCAAUGGCACUUAUUGGCCUGGGCCACCACUGCUGGUGUUUAGUCAAUUUCACACAGCACUAUACUAGAGAAAAGUCACAGGUGUAUGCUGCUUGUUUGGACCAGAUAUACAGUGCAGCAUAUUUAAUGUGACACCUGAGCGCAUGCCAAAGCAAUAUUCCUGUUGUGCUGUUUGUAGUUGUGAUGGGAAAUAGUCAUGCACACUGCUGGAGCAUAAAAUGUAAGCUCUACAAAUAAAAUACAGCAAAUGGA